CUUCCCUCUUUCUUCGUGCUUCACACCUGCAAGUCGAACGGAAAGGCCCAAGCUUGCUUGGGUACUCGAGUGGCGAACGGGUGAGUAACACGUGGGUGAUCUGCCCUGCACUUCGGGAUAAGCCUGGGAAACUGGGUCUAAUACCGGAUAGGACCACAUUUUGGAUGGUGUGGUGGAAAGUUUUUCGGUGUGGGAUGAGCUCGCGGCCUAUCAGCUUGUUGGUGGGGUAAUGGCCUACCAAGGCGUCGACGGGUAGCCGGCCUGAGAGGGUGUACGGCCACAUUGGGACUGAGAUACGGCCCAGACUCCUACGGGAGGCAGCAGUGGGGAAUAUUGCACAAUGGGCGCAAGCCUGAUGCAGCGACGCCGCGUGGGGGAUGACGGCCUUCGGGUUGUAAACUCCUUUCGCUAGGGACGAAGCGUUAUGUGACGGUACCUGGAGAAGAAGCACCGGCUAACUACGUG
rnacentral:rRNA from 1 species